ensembl:lncRNA
GGCAGAUUUUCUGUCCGAUCAAAUGCUCUCUAGAAUCUGAAGCGUCCCGCCCUCCGACGCUAUAAAAAUCCAUGGUACUGCCUGUCAAGUACGGCAUAACCCGGGCUCCGAGACCAGAUCCAGCUCUCUCUUCAGACGUUCCCCCGGAGAAGCAGAAGAUCUACAGCACGCUGACCAUCUCCGUUUCACGACUCAUGAAUCCGGAGAAACCUAGACUGAGACGGAACAAAGGAGUCCUGACAGCACCGGUCCCUGAAGAGCAGACUCGCCCGCUAACGUACACCCCGUGCCCUCCAAAUGCAUCCCACAAUCCCGUGCACAAAGACAGGAGGCAUUUUUGGAAGGAGUCUCCAGUGUCAGCGCUUCGGAACAGUCCCAGAUCUGCUCGGGCACUGCAUGAAGCCAAAGUGCAUGCAGCUGGAGGGCUUUGUUUCUCCGUCCCUCCUCCACGACUCCAUCUGAAAGGUCUUCGCAGUCAAGUGAAAAGGAGGCGAAGAAAAAAAAAAUCCUUCAAGUCACAUAAUAGCAUGCUAAUGUGAUUGUCAGGAAAUAAAACUUGAGUAUCGGAAAUUGCGCCAAAAGCUCCACCAUAAAUCGGCCCCAAAAAAGGAAAGAUGCUCCUCGUUUUAUGAAUAGCAAUAAAAAAAAAAAAAUUUUUAAAUAAAA